rnacentral:rRNA from 1 species
GACGAACGCUGGCGGCGUGCUUAACACAUGCAAGUCGAACGGAGUGGCGAACGGGUGAGUAAAAAGUGGGUGAUCUGACUUGCGAUUCGGGAUAAGCAUGGGAAACUGGGUCUAAUACCGGAUAGUGCAAGAGGAGCUCGCGGCCAAUCAGAUUGUUGGUGGGGUAAUGGCCUACCAAGGCGUCGACGGGUAGCCGGCCUGAGAGGGUGUACGGCUACAUUGGGACUGAGAUACGUCCCAUACUCUGACGGGAGGCAGCAGUGGGGAAUAGUGCACAAUGGGCGGAAGCCGUAUGCAGCGACGCCGCGUGGGGGAUGAAGGCCUUCGGGUUGUAAACGCCUUUCGACAGGGACGCGGUACCUGUAUAAGAAGCACCGGCUAACUACGUGCCAGCAGCCGCGGUAAUUC